rnacentral:rRNA from 1 species
CCCUUAGAUGUUCUGGGCCGCACGCGCGCUACACUGAAUGGAUCAACGUGUUUUCCCUUCCCGAGAGGGACGGGUAACCCGCUGAACCCCAUUCGUGGUAGGGAUCGGGGCUUGCAAUUAUUCCCCGUGAACCAGGAAUGCCCAGUAAGUGCAAGUCAUAAGCUUGCGUUGAUUACGUCCCUGCCCUUUGUACACACCGCCCGUCGCUACUACCGAUUGAACGUUUUAGUGAGGUACUCGGACUGAGCCUCAGAAGAUUCACGUCUUUUGUGCUGCUCGGGAAGAUUCCCAAACUUGAGCGUUUAGAGGAAGUAAAAGUCGUAACA